UGUGUUUUAACACCCAUGAGACGCAAGUAACCUGACUGGUGGGAUGGCUUAUGCCUGCACCAUCGACCGACCAUGAUCUUCUGUGAAAGGUUUGAGUACGAGCAUACCUGUUGGGACCCGAAAGAUGGUGAACUAUGCCUGAGCAGGGCGAAGCCAGAGGAAACUCUGGUGGAGGCUCGUAGAUGUGCUGACGUGCAAAUCGCUUUUCGGACUUGGGUAUAGGGGCGAAAGACUACUAGUAGCUGGUUCCCUCCGAAGUUUCCCCCAGGAUAGCUGGAGCUUGAUCAGUUUUAUCGGGUAAAGCGAAUGAUUAGAGGUACCGGGGAUGAAACAUCCUCGACCUAUUCUCAAACUUUAAAUAGGUAAGACGUCUGGGUUGCUUAAUUGAACCCAGGCAUUCAAUGAGAGCUCCAAGUGGGCCA
rnacentral:rRNA from 1 species